AUUGAACGCUGGCGGCAUGCCUUACACAUGCAAGUCGAACGGUAACAGGUCUUCGGAUGCUGACGAGUGGCGAACGGGUGCGUAAUACAUCGGAACGUGCCCGAUCGUGGGGGAUAACGAGGCGAAAGCUUUGCUAAUACCUCAUACGAUCUACGGAUGAAAGCGGGGGAUCUUCGGACCUCGCGCGGACGGAGCGGCCGAUGGCAGAUUAGGUAGUUGGUGGGAUAAAAGCUUACCAAGCCGACGAUCUGUAGCUGGUCUGAGAGGAUGAUCAGCCACACUGGGACUGAGACACGGCCCAGACUCCUACGGGAGGCAGCAGUGGGGAAUUUUGGACAAUGGGCGAAAGCCUGAUCCAGCCAUGCCGCGUGCAGGAUGAAGGCCUUCGGGUUGUAAACUGCUUUUGUACGGAACGAAAAGCCUCUUUCUAAUAAAGAGGGGUCAUGACGGUACCGGAAGAAUAAGCACCGGCUAACUACGUG
rnacentral:rRNA from 1 species